UCAGUUUAUUCAUGAGAAAGUAACAGCUGGAAUGAUCGAAGUGGAGUACAAAGGUUGAGUAAGAGGGUAGAUGUAAUCUGAAUACAAACAACGGCAAAGAAGGACAAGAUCAGAAUUCAGAAAACGCAUAAAUCAUAAAUUGACGAAAACAAAAGUACAACCAUCUUUGGAGAGAGAGUGAGGAUGCAUAGAAGUACAUCAUGAGCAAUCAAAAUGAAGAUGCAUAUUGGACAAUCAAAGCCAACUAGUCACACUAUAUAUUUUAUUGGUGAUACAACAGACUAGUGAAAGACUGGUCGUGCUCUGGGUUGCUAUGUGGCGACGUUGGCUGCUACGGUUUCUUGAACCCCGUUGGUUAGCAACACUUCAGUUGGUAGCUAAUAGACAUCGGAUCUAAGAUCAGCGGAGAAGAGACGAUAGACAGGGAAACCGAAUCGGAGGUGGGGAGAUCAUGGAAAUGGCCUUCGUUGAAUGAGAUCUGCGACAAUAACACGAUAUCGACGAUUUAGGAAAAAAACUCGAACAGUACCAAAAAACGGCGACGGCAAUUUCACCACCAACAGAAACCCUUAAUUGGUUACCUGUCUUCCAAGGUUGGGUAGAUCGGCUACACAACUGCGGCCGUAUGGAAGGAAAUCAGGGUUUAAAUCAUUAAAAAAAUACACCAAAUCAAAGAUUGAAUAUUAAAAACAUGAACUAGUACCAUCGACGACGACACUGGUGGUUACCUGGCGUCAGAAGACUAACUGCUCGCCUAUGAAAUAUUGUAGUCGCCGGAUCGGGAAAAAAAAUUGGGGGGCGACAGAGAUUGAAGAAUGGGAAGAGAGGUAGGGUUUUGAGAGUAUUAAAUACCUUAAAUGUCAACCUUAAGAUGUACUUUAGAUCAACGGCUACAAUGCAUCAUCUAUUUUAUAGAUACUUUGUUUCAUCUAUUGAUAUGGAUUCCCGAAUAUCAUGUGAAUAAGUAGUUAGCUGUAAUUAGGCUUGUUAGUACUUAGUAGAUAACUCCCACUUAGAUAUAAUUCUUAUUGACGUUCUUUAACGUGUACUACCAAGGAUGGUACUUAAUCUCCAAUAAAGGGAGUUGUUUUCUUAUCAAUAACAAUUACCAGCAAGAGGCUCAACAAAGUUCAUUUGUGGGGACUCAAGUUCUAUUGGUUUGGUACAAUAACUGAAGGUUGAACAAUGAGCAUUUCUGGGGCAGUUUUUUAUUUUCUGAAUACUACACGGUGCAAAAUUGUUAGUUUUUGGCUUGGCUCAGUUUGAUAUGUGUCUUGUUCUGUAGG
rnacentral:lncRNA from 1 species